UGGGGAAUAUUGGACAAUGGGCGAAAGCCUGAUCCAGCCAUGCCGCGUGUGUGAAGAAGGUCUUCGGAUUGUAAAGCACUUUAAGUUGGGAGGAAGGGCAGUAAGCGAAUACCUUGCUGUUUUGACGUUACCGACAGAAUAAGCACCGGCUAACUCUGUGCCAGCAGCCGCGGUAAUACAGAGGGUGCAAGCGUUAAUCGGAAUUACUGGGCGUAAAGCGCGCGUAGGUGGUUCGUUAAGUUGAAUGUGAAAGCCCCGGGCUCAACAUGGGAACUGCAUCCAAAACUGGCGAGCUAGAGUAGGGCAGAGGGUGGUGGAAUUUCCUGUGUAGCGGUGAAAUGCGUAGAUAUAGGAAGGAAAACAAGUGGCGAAGGCGACCACCUGGGCUCAUACUGACACUGAGGUGCGAAAGCGUGGGGAGCAAACAGG
rnacentral:rRNA from 1 species